rnacentral:tRNA from 1 species
UGGAUUAUAGUUAAAAUCAUAACAAUUAAUUUGCAAUUAAUAAUUAUUAUAAUAAAUUUAUCUAA